ACACAUUAUUCCAUUUCUGUUAGUCACAUGCCUGUGGAACUUUUUCAGUUUAUGUAUCAGUUGUUGAAUCUUGAUAUGUUCAUACAAAUAUUAACACAUGUUAAGUUUGCUGAAAAUAAACGCAGUUGACAGUGAGAGGACAUUUCUUUUUUUUUGCUGAGUUUAGCUAGUUAGCUACCUAGCUAAGGACAAAACAAACACUGGCCUUCAGUACAGCGAGGGGCGAGUCACUGUUGACAGACAGCCAGACUGCCUUCUUUAGAGUAGACAACAGUAGUCAAGCCACUGAAAGCAACAUAACUUCGCUAACGUUAGAUGGCUUUGAUGGUGGUAGGCAGUUAUAUUGAAGGCCAGUGAUUGUGGGGGAACUGCCAGAGCUGAACUAGUGACUCUGUGGUUAUGGAGCGUGGCCACCACCUGUGCCAUGACCUCUUGGCAGUUGAAGCCUGCAGCAGUAGGCCUACACUAAGAAAGAAGGGCCACUUGAUCAUGUACAUCUGACCCCAGGACCAACCUGCUAUGACCACUGAGGACUUAAACAGUCAUUUUAUACCACUGUAGAAAUACUGACUAAUUUUCAUAUCAUCUUUAUCAUAUGUAUAAGGACAUGC